AGCAGCCGCGGUAAUUCCAGCUCCAAUAGCGUAUAUUAAAGUUGUUGCAGUUAAAAAGCUCGUAGUUGAACUUCAGGCCUGUCCAGAUGGUCCGCCUUAAUUGGUGUGUACUGUCCUUGGGUGGGUCCUACCUUCUGGCGAAGCGGCAUGGCCUUAGUUGGUUGUGUUGGGGAACCAGGACUUUUACUGUGAAAAAAUUAGAGUGUUCAAAGCAGGCAUUAUAUGCUCGAAUACAUUAGCAUGGAAUAAUGGAAUAGGACGAUGGUUCUAUUUUGUUGGUUCUAGGACCGUUGUAAUGAUUAAUAGGGAUAGUUGGGGGCAUUAGUAUUCAAUUGUCAGAGGUGAAAUUCUUGGAUUUAUUGAAGACUAACUACUGCGAAAGCAUUUGCCAAGGAUGUUUUCAUUAAUCAAGAACGAAAGUUAGGGGAUCGAAGACGAUCAGAUACCGUCGUAGUCUUAACCAUAAACUAUGCCGACUAGGAAUCGGGCGAUGUUGACAAAAUGACUCGCUCGGCACCUCAUG
rnacentral:rRNA from 1 species